rnacentral:rRNA from 1 species
GACGAACGCUGGCGGCGUGCUUAACACAUGCAAGUCGAGCGGUAAGGCCCUUUCGGGGGUACACGAGCGGCGAACGGGUGAGUAACACGUGGGUGACCUGCCCUCAGCUCUGGGAUAAGCCUGGGAAACUGGGUCUAAUACUGGAUAUGACUCCACGGUGCAUGUCGUGGGGUGGAAAGCCUUGUGCGGCGUGAGGAUGGGCCCGCGGCCUAUCAGCUUGGUUGGUGGGGUGANGGCCUACCAAGGCGACGACGGGUAGCCGGCCU